rnacentral:lncRNA from 10 species
UCCCCAGGAGUUGAAUCUGCCAGCAUCUUGAUCUUGGACUUCCCAGCCUCCAGAACCACCAGAGAGAAAUGCCUGUUGUCUGAACCACCGAGGUCACUUUGCAUAGACGAGAAGAACUUGAGGCUGAGCCUCUACCUAUGGUCUGUUGGAACCUAAGGAAGCCAGUUCAUUUCUCCCAAUCUCAAUGCCCUCAUCUGUAAAAGUAGGGAAAUUAUACUGGGCUUGCUGGGUUGGUUUGUGUGUGUAUGUGUGAACUAUAAAUACUUGAAAACGACUACCCCUUUCAGAAAGGGUUACUAUUGCUAUUACUGUUAUCUGUGCCUUUAUGUAUGUAUAACUGAUCUGUCUCCUCUACUAGGCUAUGCAUUUGAGAGCAAGAAUUGUGUCUGUAUUGCUAACAGCAAUUCCAGCGCCUAAC